GACACUUUGGCCGAGUGGUUAAGGCGGUGGCCUGCUAAGCCAUUGUGCUCUGCCCGCGUGGGUUCGAAUCCCACAGGCGUCGCCA
rnacentral:tRNA from 1 species